GAAGAAGCCAUCUAUGUAGGCAUCAUGUCCAGGACAGUCGACCAGCGCUUUUCAGAGCAUAAGAAAGACUUAGAAAAAGGCAGAACAUCAACAGCAUUAACAGCAGCGGCCUACGAAGGAGGCAUAUUAGUCGAUUGGAAAGCGGCAAAAGUAAUUAGGCCUUUGAAGAAGGCAAAGCACGCAGUUUUAGUGGAAGCCAUGAAGAUAUAUGAAAGCGAAAAGAAUGAGAAACCCCUUAACAGUCACCUUUAGAAAGAGGUACCUGACCCAUGGAAAUAUCUAUUAAAUGGAGAACACGUUAAAAGAGUUUAAUUGGUAAUAG
rnacentral:lncRNA from 1 species